CUGGGAAUUUUGGGGAAUUUCUGCAUGGGCGAAAGCCUGACAGAGCAAUACCGCGUGAGGGAUGACAGUCCUAUGGAUUGUAAACCUCUUUUUUCAGGGAGGAAGUUCUGACGUUACCUGAAGAAUAAGCAUCGGCUAACUCCGUGCCAGCAGCCGCGGUAAUAACCC
rnacentral:rRNA from 1 species